GCCCUGAUGGCUCAGUUGGUUAGAGCGCAGGUCUCAUACAGCUGUAUGACCGGUAUCAUUGCCGGGCAAUCCUGAGGUCGCAAGUUCGAACCUUGCUCAGGGCA